GUGGCCCCUUCUCAGAGGGGCCCGGCACCAACCAGGGGAGCUGCUCCUCAGAGCCCAUUUCUGCCCAAAGUGAGGUGGAUGUGCUGGGACUCUCGGGAGAAAACUUGCAUCUGGUCUGCGAGGUCCUGGUGGUCGGCGAGAAGGGGGUGCUCAGCUUGAGGAAGGAUCUGGAAAGCAGGAGGGAUGCCACGACUGGGCUCUGAGAAGGAUGGCGCACGAAAGCAGUGCCAGGGACAGUGGUGAUGGGAGCGCACGGCCUACCGCUGGGUUCGUACACUUGGAAAUGGUUCAAAUGGCAAGUUUUAUGUUACAUACAUUUCACCACAAUUCUUUCAAAAAAGCCCUGUUGGGCCAUAUUGGAACCUGAGGCAAAAGGAAAAGUCAGGAAUUCUGAUCAUGUCUGGAUUUAAAAUCUUGCUGUUUUGUUUAUCACCCAAAAAGGGGGGUGAGUAAAGUGCCUGGCCCAGAGUGAAGUGCAGACUAAAUGCUGUUAUUACACUAACACUGUUAAUAUUUCUCCUGGAGGGAGGCGAUUUUAGGAGUUUCACUGGCUGCCACCAGGGGGAGCGCCGGCCCAGCCUCUCCUGGGGUCCCGGGAUCCGCGCGUGGCGCUGCAGGAAAGAGGCAAGAGUGAAGCCGAGUGGAGGAGAAGGUGCUGGUGCCGGGAAUAUGUGCAGCUGGGUCCCCCUGGGAUCCAAGGCAUUUGCAGACCCAGCUGGCAGUGACUGAGGGAUUCAUGAUGAAGGCAUCUUCGGGGACAGCCAGCAGCCUGUGGGAGGAAGCCCGGGGACAGGGCAUUUCCCCGCCACGUCCACAUGCCUCACACCGGACCUUGUAAACUCAAGCUCCGGAUCGCACCCAGGAAGGCCGGGAAGAGAAGCCCCAUAUUUGGCUUGGGACAAAGCUGCUUUCCGAGCUGCUGCUAUUUGGGGUCUCCCUGACACCAGGAGAUGCCAGCUGCCUCGCGUCAGAGGACAGGAAACUGCGGAAUCUCCAGAAUCCUUUGUUUUCUUCUUAGCACUUCCCCAAAGUCGCUCCUCUCCUGUGCAGGGGUCUGUCUGUGCGUGGCCCUCCCUCUGGGGAGGCUGAGUUGUCACUUCUCCAUCAGAGGAAGAUAGUUUGUCUCUGAACAAAGUGUCCUGACUGCAGAUGGGGUCCCAGGGGAGGUGUGCGUGAGCAGAUUACUCGGAAACGAGUUACUCCUCUUCCCAUUAAAAUAUUCCGUUAAUUA